ACCAGCAGCGAUAGCUCCUUGAAAGCACCAGUUCCGCAUGGAUUACUGAAGUUGAGCACGGUUGCGCGUGGUUAGUACCCGGAUGGGUGACCAUCUGGCCAAUAGCGUGCUGCUAGGU
rnacentral:rRNA from 1 species